GCCCUCGUGGUGAAAUGGAUAUCAUGUAGAGCUUCGGACUCUAAGUUCCGGGUUCGAGUCCUGGCGGGGGCACAA
rnacentral:tRNA from 1 species